rnacentral:rRNA from 1 species
GACGAACGCUGGCGGCGUGCCUAAUACAUGCAAGUCGAGCGCAGGAAGCUGACGGAACUCUUCGGAGGGAAGGCAGCGGAAUGAGCGGCGGACGGGUGAGUAACACGUAAGGAACCUGCCUCAAGGAUUGGGAUAACUCCGAGAAAUCGGAGCUAAUCCCGGAUUGUUCAACGGACCGCAUGGUCCGCUGAUGAAAGGCGCUCCGGCGUCACCUUGAGAUGGCCUUGCGGUGCAUUAGCUAGUUGGUGGGGUAACGGCCCACCAAGGCGACGAUGCAUAGCCGACCUGAGAGGGUGAUCGGCCACACUGGGACUGAGACACGGCCCAGACUCCUACGGGAGGCAGCAGUAGGGAAUCUUCCACAAUGGACGAAAGUCUGAUGGAGCAACGCCGCGUGAGUGAUGAAGGUUUUCGGAUCGUAAAACUCUGUUGUAAGGGAAGAACACGUACGAGAGGAAAUGCUCGUACCUUGACGGUACCUUACGAGAAAGCCACGGCUAACUACGUGCCAGCAGCCGCCGUAA